rnacentral:rRNA from 1 species
UACGUAGGGGGGCGAGCGUUGUCCGGAUUUAUUGGGCGUAAAGAGCUCGUAGGCGGUUCGAUAAGUCGAACGUGAAAUCCCCAGGCUCAACCUGGGAACUGCGUCCGAUACUGGCAGGCUUGAAUCCGGGAGAGGGAUGUGGAAUUCCAGGUGUAGCGGUGAAAUGCGUAGAUAUCUGGAGGAACACCGGUGGCGAAGGCGGCAUCCUGGACCGGUAUUGACGCUGAGGCGCGAAAGCUAGGGGAGCAAACGGG